UAAAAAAGCUACUUCUGUACUGUGACUGGAAUUUAAUUGGUCAUAUGAGCUAUCAUAUUCUCACCAAACAAAACCAAACUAAUAAGCUGGACAAGAUAAGAUCUAAAGCACAGUAUUUGGUUGACUAUGUGCAGUACUUUUUCCACAAUAAAAUGUGUGAAAUAAUCAAGUAAAUUUUCAUAUUUUAAAGAUCUGUGAUCCAGUUUGAGGUAUAUACUUAGGAUCUGUUCGAUAGUAAUUAUGAGAAUUGAUUUUUUUUAUCAUUAGAGAGAAACG
rnacentral:lncRNA from 1 species